rnacentral:rRNA from 1 species
UACGUAGGGUGCAAGCGUUGUCCGGAAUUAUUGGGCGUAAAGAGCUCGUAGGCGGUCUGUUGCGUCGGCUGUGAAAACCCGGGGCUCAACCCCGGGCCUGCAGCCGAUACGGGCAGACUAGAGUUCGGCAGGGGAGACUGGAAUUCCUGGUGUAGCGGUGAAAUGCGUAGAGAUCUGGAGGAACACCGAUGGCGAAGGCAGCCUUCUGGGCCAACACUGACGCUCAUGCACGAAAGCGUGGGGAGCAAACAGG